CAGAAUUCGCCCUUAGAGUUUGAUCCUGGCUCAGGAUGAACGCUGGCGGCGUGCUUAACACAUGCAAGUCGAACGAAGCACCUUAUUCUGAUUUCUUCGGAAUGAAAAAUUUGGUGACUGAGUGGCGGACGGGUGAGUAACGCGUGGGUAACCUGCCUCAUACAGGGGGAUAACAGUUAGAAAUGACUGCUAAUACCGCAUAAGACCACAGCACCGCAUGGUGCAGGGGUAAAAACUCCGGUGGUAUGAGAUGGACCCGCGUCUGAUUAGGUAGUUGGUGGGGUAACGGCCUACCAAGCCGACGAUCAGUAGCCGACCUGAGAGGGUGACCGGCCACAUUGGGACUGAGACACGGCCCAAACUCCUACGGGAGGCAGCAGUGGGGAAUAUUGCACAAUGGGGGAAACCCUGAUGCAGCGACGCCGCGUGAGCGAUGAAGUAUUUCGGUAUGUAAAGCUCUAUCAGCAGGGAAGAAAAUGACGGUACCUGACUAAGAAGCACCGGCUAAAUACGUGCCAGCAGCCGCGGUAAUACGUAUGGUGCAAGCGUUAUCCGGAUUUACUGGGUGUAAAGGGAGCGUAGACGGAGUGGCAAGUCUGAUGUGAAAACCCGGGGCUCAACCCCGGGACUGCAUUGGAAACUGUCAAUCUAGAGUACCGGAGAGGUAAGCGGAAUUCCUAGUGUAGCGGUGAAAUGCGUAGAUAUUAGGAGGAACACCAGUGGCGAAGGCGGCUUACUGGACGGUAACUGACGUUGAGGCUCGAAAGCGUGGGGAGCAAACAGGAUUAGAUACCCUGGUAGUCCACGCCGUAAACGAUGACUACUAGGUGUCGGGCAGCAAAGCUGUUCGGUGCCGCAGCAAACGCAAUAAGUAGUCCACCUGGGGAGUACGUUCGCAAGAAUGAAACUCAAAGGA
rnacentral:rRNA from 1 species